rnacentral:lncRNA from 1 species
CACAAGUAUGCAGAGAGGCAGGCAGAAGGAGAGGGGGAAGCAGGCUCCCUGCUGGGGUCUGGCAGGCCCAAUCUGCAGGCACUGAGCAAUUGGAGCAGGUGUGCAGGCUUUAGGUGGGAGACACCUACUUAUCCGCACCUGACAACCCUUCUUCACUCUGGCUCCACGAGACCUGAAGUUUGGAAAUCAGCAUCCGAGCCAGUCAUCCAGCUUGUCUCAGGAUGUCAGCGUUCAGAGAAAACAGCAGGCCCAUGGGGCACAAUGUCACAUCCAUGUCAGGAUGAGAGGUAAAAGUUCUCUUUCACCCU